rnacentral:lncRNA from 1 species
CUCAAGCAUGCUAAAGAUCAAGAACACUGUUCUCAAGUGUUUUACCUGCCCACGCUUUGCACCCAGGGCAUAUUUUGAGUGAAAGAGUCGAGACCUGCAUCUAGAGGCCCCUAAGAAUGGACUAAGGCUGGGCAGUCUUUGCCAUGGACAAAAUGAUCAAAACCAGCUGCUCCGUGGAGUUCUUCAUUGAAAGGAAGAGAGAGGUGGAGUUGGCAGUGAAGCGGGAUCUGCAGACACACUUCAGCAUCAAGCUGACUUAUCACUCCUCUGGAAACGGUUAACAUGCCUGGUCCAGCCACCCGUCAUGUGGAUGUGAUGUGCCUCUCAGCAGUUCUGAAGAUGACAGAAUUCACUUGCAGAUCUAAAAGAGACAAACAGAAGCUGGAAAUUGUACAUAGAGUUGAUAGGAAAACCACCUGAUUACAAAUCACUUAUCGGAAAUGCUAUGUGGAGAAGAAUUAGAAGACAUGGUCACUGAGCAGGAAGAGACAUGACUCUGCCAAGGUAUUAUUGGAAAGGUUGGAGGUGAUCUACUAUAUGGAAGCAUCUCUGAAGUCUAGACAUAAAUCAUCACAGUUCUAGAAAAAGUGGAAGAGAAAACACACCUUUGUAAAAGGACUGGAACAUAGGAAAGUGAUUGAGUUUGAAACACCAACAAAACCAUAUAGGGUGACGGACAGAAACCAGAUUAUAAGGUGUUAAGGAGGGAGGAAGAAAAGACAAAUCAAGAAAACCCCAGGCCCCACCAGCAGAGCAGCAGAGCAGCAGAGUGGCAGAGUGGCAGAGAAGGAGAGAAGCAGCAGCCAGAUGUUGGAGAGAAGCAGCUUGACUUCAGAGGGACAACUUGGUAGCGGGACCUCGGAGAAGAGUUUGGCCAGGGAUGCCCAAACUCCAGGGGAAGACCACCUUCCCACUCCAUCCCCUUUCCAGCUCCCCAUUCCAUUGAGAGCCACUUCCACCACUAAAUAAAAUCCUCCACAUUCACCAACCUCAAAUUUGUGAAACCUCAUUCCUCCUGGAUGCUAGACAAGAACCUGAGUGUGGGUGCAAGAGGCUGUCAUCAUGACUCUACACUGAGCUGUUUAACACUUAAGCCAUCCGUGGAUGGCAAAGCUAGAAGAGCGCACUGUAACACAGGCCCUCUGGGGCUCCAGGGGUCAUGGGCGACCCCUAGACUCUGCCGCAGGCCCGCACAGGGUUCUGCUCCUGCCGGUUGCCCAAAAGUGCUCAUCCUGGCCUCUGCGCCUGCUCUCCUGUGUUCUCCCCCUCCCACAAGGGGUUGAGAGCUGCAGGCUGAGUAAGCAAGCCACCCUAUCAUGAGUCCUGUGAAUGGGUUGAGGGAACUAUCCUAUUUCAACAGGACAUUCAGUGCUAAAAACCUGAAAAAGUCUCAGGCAAAGUGGGA